rnacentral:rRNA from 1 species
UGAGGAAUAUUGGUCAAUGGGCGAGAGCCUGAACCAGCCAAGUAGCGUGCAGGAUGACGGCCCUAUGGGUUGUAAACUGCUUUUAUGUGGGGAUAAAGUGCGUGACGUGUCAUGCAUUGCAGGUACCACAUGAAUAAGGACCGGCUAAUUCCGUGCCAGCAGCCGCGGUAAUACGGAAGGUCCGGGCGUUAUCCGGAUUUAUUGGGUUUAAAGGGAGCGUAGGCUGUCUAUUAAGCGUGUUGUGAAAUUUACCGGCUCAACCGGUGGCUUGCAGCGCGAACUGGUCGACUUGAGUAUGCAGGAAGUAGGCGGAAUUCAUGGUGUAGCGGUGAAAUGCUUAGAUAUCAUGACGAACUCCGAUUGCGCAGGCAGCUUACUGUAGCAUAACUGACGCUGAUGCUCGAGAGUGCGGGUAUCAAACAGG